rnacentral:misc_RNA from 1 species
AAGUUGUAACAAGGUUUCCGUAGGUGAUUUACGUCUACUUAAAACUGUACUGAGACUUUAUUUUACAAUAAAGACAACUUUUAGCAACGGAUCUCUUGGCUCUC